UUUCUCUCCGUCGUCAGCGCGGCGAAGCCGAAGAUCGCAGACUAUCCGUUCACCACCCUGCAUCCGCAGCUGGGCGUCGUUGGCAUCGACGGGCGCGAAUUCGUGCUGGCCGACAUUCCGGGACUGAUCGAGGGCGCGCACGAAGGUGCCACGAAGGUGCGGGCCUCGGCGACAGAUUCCUCGGUCACGUCGAGCGCUGCCGUGUGCUGCUGCAUCUGGUGGAUGCGACAUCGGAGCAUGCGGGCAAAGAGUACAAGACCGUGCGCACGGAACUGGAAGCGUAUGACGCGAAUCUCGCCGACAAGAUCGAGAUCG
rnacentral:misc_RNA from 1 species